rnacentral:lncRNA from 1 species
UAUAUUCAAAGAAACUACAACUGCAUCGUUAUGAGGAAAUUGGACUCCCCGAGCAUCUUCUUCAGUAAAGGUUAUGGACUCCUCAAUCUUUUGUCGCUUGGGAGGUACAGCCAAUACGCCGGUUGCUCCCUACCGGGAUUCUCCCGAGAUGGUGUUGGCGAAAUCCAUCGGAAGCAGAUCGUCUGACCGCCCCACAUCGACGGCCAUUGCCAGAGGAGGAGGAGAAGGUUGGGAAACUGGAAGUGAGGCCAAAGCCUGAGAUCUGGCUGCGAAGGUCAUGGAUCGUCGUGUGGAUGCUUUGCGGGGAGGCAUCGGGCGAAGACCUAGUGAGGGAAGGAGGAGAGAACAUCGGAAAAGGUGACCGGAGGUGGUCCCGUUGAGCGCUCCUUUAAGAACAAGGGUACUGCGAAGGUUUAAAACCCCUUCCUCUAGCGCCAAUCCUGUUGGUGCAAAAAUCCACCUGCAUCGGAGAAGCUGGAGUCGAGGG